AGAGAUUCUAAUCCUGAAAAACCAUUACCGGGAUAAAAUGAAGAUCCUAAAGUCUAGGUUAGAGACCUACCAUGACCUUUUGGAACAAAAAACAGAAUGCUUGCAAGAAAAAAUAAAGGUUUUGGAAGAGGAGAAAGAUCAGUGGAUACAGGAAAAAUCAUCCCUUCUCAAUGAAAUUAAAGAAUUAAAAGAGAAACUGGGGCAGGAAAAGAUUUAACACUGUAUGGCUUGAGCUGCAUUUUCAAGGGAAAUGGUUUCAGUUGCUCAGCUCCUUCAUUGAAAGAUGUCACUAUAGUUUGGAUGUCAGAAACAUAAAAAAGUGAUGCCAAGAUAUAUGCAAGAUAUAGCACCCAGCCUAUCAAGUUGGUAUCAGAAUUUCUAUCUGCAUCAAAGAACAUCUAAGGAAUAACAUGGUUAGCAUCUCUCCAAGCAGUUGUAAAAAGGAAAUACCGUAUAUACUCGAGUAUAAGCCGACCCAAGUAUAAGCCGAGGACCUAAUUUUACCACAAAAAA